rnacentral:rRNA from 1 species
AUUGAACGCUGGCGGCAGGCUUAACACAUGCAAGUCGAGCGGGGGAGGUUGCUUCGGUAACUGACCUAGCGGCGGACGGGUGAGUAAUGCUUAGGAAUCUGCCUAUUAGUGGGGGACAACAUUCCGAAAGGGAUGCUAAUACCGCAUACGACCUACGGGGGAAAGCAGGGGAUCUUCGGACCUUGCGUUAAUAGAUGAGCCUAAGUCGGAUUAGCUAGUUGGUGGGGUAAAGGCCUACCAAGGCGACGAUCUAUAGCGGGUCUGAGAGGAUGAUCCGCCACACUGGGACUGAGACACGGCCCAGACUCCUACGGGAGGCAGCAGUGGGGAAUAUUGGACAAUGGGCGGAAGCCUGAUCCAGCCAUGCCGCGUGUGUGAAGAAGGCCUUUUGGUUGUAAAGCACUUUAAGCGAGGAGGAGGCUCUUAAGGUUAAUACCCUUGAUGAGUGGACGUUACUCGCAGAAUAAGCACCGGCUAACUCUGUGCCAGCCGCCGCAGUAACAC